rnacentral:tRNA from 1 species
AGAAUAGUGACCGAAUUUAGGUGUUAGUUUCUUAAAUUAAUUAUGAAUAAAUUAGUUUA